UUAUGGUCAUAUCAUGUUGAAACACCGGUUCCCAUACGAUCUCUGAAGUUAAGCAACGUCGAGCCUGGUCAGUACCUAGAUGGGUGAGCGUCUGGAAAUACCAGGUGCUGUAAG